CUUUUUCUUUUUCCCCUCAGUGCUAGAGAUUGAACUCAGGGCCUUUGCACUGAGCUAUAUCCUCAGUCCUUUUUAAAUUUUUUUUAUUUUAAAACAGGGUUUUGCUAAGUCACUAAGUUGCCCAGGCUGGGCUUUAACUUUCCAUCCUGUUACUUCAGCCUCCCAGCGGCUGGGUUUUCAGGCGUGCACCACAUGCCUGGCUAGACAUUCAUACUUUUUUAAAUGCCUCCAUGAUUCCAGUGUACAGCCAAGAUGUCAACCCUGGAGUAGAGCCAGGGAGAGAGAAGUCUCCGAUCAUCCCCACGUUCUGGCUCCAGUGAGUGGGGAGAUAGACAUGGGUCCUAAAGGAGGAGGAAGGAUCCCUGUCCUGCCCCUGCCCAGGCUCCUGGCUGUGGGGCUCUUCCUCCUGGCUCCUCCCUCCCACAGCGCCUCCUCAUCUGCCACCUCUGCCUAUGGCAUUGGUGGGGGGGGGCUUGACUUGCCCAUGGCUGGCGCUGUCUCCUCCUGGGUAAGGGGGCCAUGGGUCACCUCUCAGCUCCUCUGCCAAGGGCCUGGCUGCAGGGCUGCUGUGAACAGGAGGCAGGCACAGCAAGAGUUCGUGUCUUUUCCCCACACCCCAGCACAGGAAGGAUGAGACCCGCCCUUCAAGAGCAGCAGGUCAGAAGAGCAAUGAUUUGUGUCCUGAGUCUAGGGUCAGCAUGGGGAUUGGGAGGCGAACUCAUUUUGGAUCGCCAGGGAGGCUGGAGCGUUGGGAAACCCAGCGCUCCAGAGACUCAGAGAGCAGGACCCUACAGAGGGGGCAGGAAGGGUGGCCCAGGGGUCGCUCAGUCUGGUUAAUGACCACUGCUGUCACCCCACCAACCUCCUGCGGGAGGCAGGUGGGCAAGGAGGGUAGGGCAGGGGACUCUGAUGCACUAGCAGGGACUGAGGAAGGAGCUGAGAGAGCUGCUUCCAUGGCGGUGUCCCUCCUGCUCUCGACAGCUCUGUCGCUGCCUCCUAUAACGUCUUCCUGUCUUCCCUCGCCCCAGGCCGACAGGAACUGCACUGUAGAGGUCCAUCUGCUCACAGACCCAGAUGAUGCCAGAGCUAUGACCAGGCCUGCAGGCGUGGCUCCGAGGGGAGACCAGCCAUGGAGCAGCCACAGGAGGAGACCCCUGAGGUCCGGGAAGAGGAGAAAGAGGAAGUGGCAGAGGCCGAAGGAGCCCCAGAGCUCAAUGGGGGAUCAGAGCCUGCGCUUCCCUCCAGCAGCUACACAGGACUCUCCGAGAUGUGCUCCCAUCUCCACUUUGCAGAAGAGGAAACUGAGGCCCAGCAGCCCAGAGCUGGGGCCUGCGCCCAGGACACUUGGCCUUGACCUCAGGACUGCCAGCUGGGACAAGGGGGACAUGGGCUGUGAGCUUGGGCCUUGUGGCCCCUGAACCCUGUUCUCACCUACUGUGCCCAGCGGUCCUGAGCUCCUGGAAGUCAGCUCGGGUCCACACCUUUGCCCCAGAGAGGGGAGCAGUCACCUGCCCUCCCCCUUGCGAGGUAGUUUCCUUGCUCAGCUGGCUGAGGGCAGUGUCUGGUCCUGUCCCACCCCGUACCCAGCAGGUGCUCAGCAGAUGUCUGUCUAUGAACCGAAAAGGAGGGCACUGCCAUACACAGGGCCAGCAGUGACCCAGUGACCAGAUUCCUGCCCCACAGGGAGGAGGAGGAGGAGGGGCUAAAGAAAGAUGUGACUCAUCCUGCUGCUUGGUCAUUGUGGAUGAGACAUAGGUGGGGCUGGGCGCUUGGGUCCAGUGGGAACGUGGUGAGGGACGGGAGUCUGCGACAGUGCACAAAGGCGGCAGGACCGUCAGCAUCCGAGCGGCCUCCACAAAGGGCUUUUGUGGCAUCUUCACUCACCACCUCCCACACGGCUCCUGGCAGUUCUACUGUCCCCAUUCCCAUGCCUCCAGGGCAGCAGGUCCCAGCUGGCACUGCUGAGGCCAGGACCCAGGGGCAGCGUGAGCACCUCAGACUCCCGAGCUGCUGAGCCCGCCAUGUGCCCAGCACCUGCACAGUGGUGCCCUGCCCUGUGGCCCUGACGUCUAGUGGGUGGCGCCCAGCCACAAACAAACACAGGUGCACUGUCAAGCAGUGACAGAGGCAACUGAGAAGACCACACCUGCUUCACCGAGAGAUUGAGGGGCCCACUGUCCCUCUCGGGGGCUGAGGGGAUGGUCACACCCCUUGGAAUGACUGAAGAUGGGCCCUGAGGUGCUGGGAUGGGACUGGCCAUUUUAGAACUUGUGUCGCCCCUAAAUCUCACCAGCCAAGAGGGGAGCAGCCCGCUGGGCCCUUUUGCUGCGGCCAGGCUGGGGUCUCAGGUGCUCUUCCUUGAGCAGCUGGUUCCUGGGCAGGAACCUGGCA
rnacentral:lncRNA from 1 species